CGAGCCAGCUCCCCAGCAGCCCGAGGCCACAGGGCCAUGCUCUCCAGCUGGCUGAGGUGGCUGCCCCCACCCAAGCCCGCUGACGGAAGUGCCGUCUCUCUCCUGAUAGGAGGAGGAUGACCCAGCAGAUCGGCAAGUGGCCAAGAGGAGCUCCCCACUGCCUUCUCCUCUUAGCACGAGUGACAGUGUGGUAUGCCCCCUGACCUCUCUUCCUUCCUCCUCCGGGACUAAGCCAUGACUGGACAUGACAAUAAGGAACUCGUCCUUGCCUGAACCUAUGCCACCGGAAAUGGCCUCUUCUCCCCAGACGCUGGCUCACAAACGGAGCAGCCCCCAGAGGUGAAUUUACCUGCCUUGAGCCCAGGUUCUGGGCUCUCCCACCUGACGCUUCAACCUCCAGCGGAGAAAGGAGUCUCUCUAGGGAAAAGAUCUAGGACCAACUGAGAAGUACAUUUCUAAAUCACCAGUUACUUUAAUGAGUAAGUACUUUCAGUUUUGCCAUUUUAUUUUAAGCAUUACUAUUUCACAUUUCUGACCAGCCUUUCUUAGGAUCCUCAUUUUUGGGGCACUUAAUGUAUAGGAAGGAAUCACCAGCCUAGUCCACUCCACCCCACCUCCACUUAACUGAAGAGUCCUAAAGAGACAACUGUUAUCAUUGUAAUAUUGUCUAAUAAGGGUGCAUGACUGAUAAGCCACUAAAUCUCUAAAAGCAUACAGUGCAAGGAAACAGUGAGCUGUGAACUGGAGAAAAGAGAUGACGCUUCUAUUGUCUGUGUAAUCUUUUAUGUUGUGGUUGACCACAAAGGCUUGGCAUCGGUUAUGACUCCUAGCUCUGCUUUUUAUAAAAUGGAUGACCUUG
rnacentral:lncRNA from 1 species